UGUGUCCCCAAGAAAGUGUCAGAGCCUUUACGUGGACCUUCUCAUGAAAAAGGAAACAGAAUAGUCAAUGGAAAAGGAAAAGGCAAUGAAAAGAAGAAGCCAAGAAGAACCCUCAAAACCUUAAGGCCUCCUGCAAAACAUCCUUCCUUGAAGCACUGAAGUGGAAGAUCCUGCUGUGAAAGGAGCAGUACAAAGAAAGUAUGUACAGACAUUGAGAGCAGAACAAACCUUACCAGUGGCUUUAGAGGAAGAGCAAGAAAGGUGUGAAAGAAGUGAAAAGAAGCAAUCACAGGUCAAAGAAGGAAAUAAUACAAACAAAAGUGAAAAAAUACAACUAUCAGAAAAUGUAUGUCAUA
rnacentral:lncRNA from 1 species